CGCAAACGGAAACGGAAAUCGACACAGUAACGCAAACUGAAAAGUUUACACUAUUGUUUAUUUGCACAAAUUCAUUAAAAUGUUUACAAAGAUUGGAGCAACAAAUUCACAACACUCAAACAGCCCUAUGAAUGCGCCGGUUGAUCGAUGAAUGGUGCUAGUGAACCGGUUCUACGCAAAUGCAUACGUAAUUGCCAACAAAACUGAGCACGCGAAUUCUCGAGAAUUUUAGCAGUUCAUAAAGGAAACUAUAAUGUCUCUAGUUAAAAAGUUGGACAUAAUAGGAACAGAAUUCAUUGUUUGCUAAUGUGGCAUCAUCGAUUACUUAACAGGUGACUUAUACUGUUAUUCGCUUGUGAUUAAUAUAAAUAUUGUGAACCUAAGCUCAAUUACUUAUAAGUUUAACUAAAUUUGUGUUAAUAAAUCACUGUUUUCUCAAGCUUAAAAUAAAAUAUAAAUAAAUAAAAAAGUUUAUAAUUGAAGAGACAUAACUAUAGAAUUCAUUGCGGUCUGGUAACAAUUUAGCCAAACUGCGGGUUUCAAAAAUUUAUGAUAUUGGACAACACCUAGAAUUUCAGGAAUUUGUAACUCAAAGCUUUAACAUAAUUUUAGACGGAAGAAAAUUGGAAAGCAAGACUUAAAAAACUUUAAGUUUUAUCUAAGAAAUGACUUGGUAAUUAUAAAUUUUAGCAGUAAUGAUCAAGCAGCACCGCAGAAAUUUCAUCGAUUCCAUCGAAAGAAAUCAGAAAUAGUU